UACGUAGGGUGCGAGCGUUGCCCGGAUUUAUUGGGCGUAAAGGGCGCGUAGGCGGCUCGGCACGUCCGUUGUGAAAUCGCCCGGCUCAACUGGGCGGGGUCAGCGGAUACGGUCGAGCUUGAGCAAGCUAGGGGGCAAUGGAAUUCCCGGUGUAGUGGUGGAAUGCGUAGAUAUCGGGAGGAACACCAGUGGCGAAGGCGGCUCACUGGCCCGGUACUGACGCUGAGGUGCGAAAGCGUGGGGAGCAAACAGG
rnacentral:rRNA from 1 species